AGUGAACGCUGGCGGCAGGCCUAAUACAUGCAAGUCGAACGGCAGCACAGCAGAGCUUGCUCUGUGGGUGGCGAGUGGCGGACGGGUGAGGAAUACAUGGGAAUCUGCCCAGUCGUGGGGGAUAACGUAGGGAAACUUACGCUAAUACCGCAUGCGCCCUUCGGGGGAAAGCCGGGGACCUUCGGGCCUGGCGCGAUUGGAUGAGCCCAUGUCGGAUUAGCUAGUUGGUGGGGUAAAGGCCCACCAAGGCGACGAUCCGUAGCUGGUCUGAGAGGAUGAUCAGCCACACUGGAACUGAGACACGGUCCAGACUCCUACGGGAGGCAGCAGUAGGGAAUAUUGGACAAUGGGCGCAAGCCUGAUCCAGCCAUGCCGCGUGUGUGAAGAAGGCC
rnacentral:rRNA from 1 species